CCUUGCCCGCUCGCUCGCCGCGCGCUCGCUUCCUCUUGCAAACUUUCGGGUUCUGUGGUCGACAAGAAACCGGGGCGACCCUCAGCAAGUCUUCCCCGCGCAGUGCCGGAAACAAGGCAGAAGGCGGCUUGGGAAAAAGUGGAGCAGAAAUGGAAAAAUACAAACUCACCCGCUGCAAAUGGUCUCUCGGUGCAAACUAAGGUGUUUUCGGGCCUUUUCCCCGCGCGCGCCCACUCCCGCCCGCGCGCGCGCCCCGCGCACACACUCACCGCGCGCACACACACACACACGCACUCCCGGGCGAGGGCCGAGUACAGCGUGCGGCCGCCGCGAGUACAGCGUGCGGCCGCCACACAAUAAAUAACAAUAGAUUCCUCCGCUCCGGACUAGCUUCCCGGAGCCCGGCCAGCGCCGGCGCCGGCUGCGGCGCGCCCAGCGCCGGGCCUGGGGCGCCCCCCGCCAGCUCGCCGCCGGGUGUCGCCCCCCACCCGACCCCGCUCCGCCCCGCGUCCCGCGCGCGAGCCCGCACCCCGGCUCCCGGCCCCCCACCCCGGGGCGCCGGCGGCCGCCCCCAGCUCCCCACCCCCCGCCCCCGGCAUCCCGGAACAAAUAAAUAAAUAAGGCGCGCGCGAGAGGCCAACACGUCGCGGAGGGAGAUGUUGUUAUUUUUUGCUGUUGUGCGUCCCUGACGUCACAUCCACCUGCUGGGUAAACAACAGGGCUCGCAGCAAAAAAAAAAAAAAAGCAACUGCCAAAGCUGGGGGGGUGGGGAGUGGGGGCGGGGGUCCGAGCUGGGUGGGGAGCAGGGGGCGCCCGCGCGCGGUGGAGCCCCGGGCCCCGAGAGGAAAGGGACCGCCGGGGCAGUCCGGCAGGAAAGACCUGGAAAAAGAGGGGGUCCGGGGGGCGGGGGGGAUUCCCGAGAAGACGGGGCUCGGGGGGCGCACUCGGCUCCCCCCACCCCCGGGGACGCGCGGCGGGGCCGGAGCCGCGGGAGCUGCGGGCCGGGCUCGGCGCUCCGCACGCCGGCGGCCGCGGCGCGGAGGCGCGGCCCCGCGGGUUAAAAGUGAAAGUGCUGGCCGCGGUGACAGUGGCGGGGGCGGCCCGGGCGCCCGCGGCCCCCUCGCGCCGCGCCCGCGGCCCUCCCUCGCCGCCCGGCGCUCGCUCUCCGCGCUCCGUCCAAUGAAAGGAGGCGAGUUCGCGAGGUGAAAGUUCAGCCGAAGGACAAACCCCCGCUCCCCGAGCGCGCACACAGCCCGCGGGCGAGGGGCUUCCUGGCCCGCGGUGUCGGGCCGGGCCGGGCCGGAGUCGCUGCCGGAAUGCGCGGCGGGACCCGCUGCGGGGGAAGCGUGUGGCGCCGCUUAGGAAAGCGCCCGGGGCUGGCGUGUCGGUCGGUUGUUUAACACAAAUUACCUGCUCGCCCGGAGACCGGUCACGUGCAGAAAGCUUUGUCCGAGUCUUUGAAAAGAUACAUCAAUCCCAGAUGCUACCAAACUCCGGAACCAGCGUUCCCAGCCACCGACUGGCCGGUACAGCAGGCCAGUUAUUUAUCACAGUAUAUUAAAAGCCACCCUCCUGGAUUCCCGCACAGCGCUGCCUGCCCCUGAGUGGGCACAGGGGAGGCUUACUGUCCCGUUGGUUUGGAGACCAGCACGGUGGUAGAUAAUAAAUUUCCUGGAAAGGGGAGUAUACGAUUCUUGUGUAUAAUGUCUUUUUACAAACAUCGUUAAACAUUAACAGACGACCUUAGAUCUCAAUUUCAGUGAUAGUAUAAAAUUGCCACCUGAACAUUGCACCUGCGUUGCAAGUCAAAGAUAAAUAAAUAAACAACACAGCCAUUCACGGUUGCUGCAGAAGAUAAAGCCCGAGAAAGAGACGCUGGGCUAAGAUUGAGCAGUGUGCUUUUUAAAAAUUAUUCUUGCGGUCAUACCAAAACGGGCUUUACGUGGCUGCUGACCUUACUCUGCAUUUUAACAACUGCCUGAAAUUCUACAUCCACUUGCAAGUGGGGACUAAAGGCAGGUUGGCAACAAGUUUUGCAGACAAAAGGGAAUCCUGGUUGUGGAUCCCAUGAUACAGCGUACUCAAUUUCGUACAGAUUUUUGUGUCUCAUGUGCUGCCUUAUUAAAGAACUUCAUGUCCAUUUGGUUUACGUUACAAGGAAACUUAACUGUGGCUUAACAUAUUGCUCAUUUUCAACACUGUCACGUCGCAUUCGUAGGGAGCAGAUUUUAAUUUCUUUAUCAGUAAUCAACUGGAAGUUUCUUUUUGUUAAAUUAAAGCAAGAAGGGUUUUGAAAUAUAAAGGGCAUGGGGGUAGGACGCCACCUUUUGGCGACAAAACUAAAUAGAAAUCUCUUUUUUUUUUUUUUAAAGCAGAUGUUCCCAACCUAAUCUUAUUUUUAAUUACACCAAGGCAAAGGUGCUUGUCCCCAUUUCCUUAUAUUUUAAGAAACAGGUUGUAGGGGAGCAGGGGAACCAGCAUAAAUCAUGGUUAGAAAACUGCGGGUAGCUGCAGCCACAGUUCGGCCUGAGCAGUGAGAAUGGGCUGGUGCCCCGUGCCAUACUGUGAACUAUGUCACACUUGGACUUCAUCCUCCAGGUGCUGUGUCAGUGACUCUAUGGAGGACAGGAAGCCAGAGUGGAUGGGUGCCACCCAGCCAGAUACCUGAGUGCCCUUGAGAACUGAGAGCUGAACAGACAGGGUCAGCACCAAAUCGGUGUUUCCUGAACCACAGUCCUCACCAUCCAGAUUCUUGCUGCUCUUUGUGGCACAGUAAUUCCUAAAGAAUUAAUAUACCGUGUUCAUUAGAGUGUACAUGUUAAGGUGGUUGUCCUAAAUGUUUUCAUUUGAAUGAACCUACUUACUUCUUUUUCUAUUUUUACUUCAAAUGCAAGACCAGUGUCACCCUCCCUAAAUUAGAAACAAGCACAGUGAGAAUAGACACUGGCAAAACUGACAUCAGAAAUGACUUUUUGCAGAGGGGGAGGGGUACGUGUUGAGAAGAGUUACUGGGGCUGGCGCUGUGGCACAGAGGGUUAACGCCCUGGCCUGAAGCAUCGGCAUCCCAUAUAGACCCGGCUGCUCCACUUCUGAUGCAGCUCUCUGCUAUGGCCUGGGAAAGCAGUAGAAGAUGGCCCAGGUCCUUGGGGCCCUGCACCCACAUGGGAGACCCAGAAGAAGCUCCUGGCUCCUGGCUUUGGAUUGGCGCAGCUCUGGCCUUUGCGGCCAAUUGGGGAGUGAACCUUCGGAUGGAAGAUCUCUCUCUCUCUCUCUCUCUCUGCCUCUCCUUCUCUCUCUGUGUAACUCUGACUUUCAAAUAAAUAAAUAAUUUUUUUCAAAAGUGA